rnacentral:rRNA from 1 species
UUCGAUUCUGGCUCAGGACGAACGCUGGCGGCGUGCCUAACACAUGCAAGUCGAGCGAGGAGAUCCUUCGGGAUGAUCCUAGCGGCGGACGGGUGAGUAACACGUGGGCAACCUGCCUCAUAGAGAGGAAUAGCCUUCCGAAAGGGAGAUUAAUACCUCAUAACAUUGCAGUUUCGCAUGGAACAGCAAUUAAAGGAGUAAUCCGCUAUGAGAUGGGCCCGCGGCGCAUUAGCUAGUUGGUGAGGUAACGGCUCACCAAGGCGACGAUGCGUAGCCGACCUGAGAGGGUGAUCGGCCACAUUGGGACUGAGACACGGCCCAGACUCCUACGGGAGGCAGCAGUGGGGAAUAUUGCACAAUGGGGGAAACCCUGAUGCAAGCAACGCCGCGUGAGUGAUGACGGCCUUCGGGUUGUAAAGCUCUGUCUUCAGGGACGAUAAUGACGGUACCUGAGGAGGAAGCCACGGCUAACUACGUGCCAGCCGCAGC